rnacentral:siRNA from 1 species
AUGCUAUACGUGGCUUGUACAG